rfam:Gossypium raimondii Chr05_contig_1354, whole genome shotgun sequence.
AGUUAAAAAUUUUAUCUAUUUGUAUUGUUAAAAACUGAGUUAGUUGGCUGAAUAAUCAGAAAGUGAAAUGUGGCAUGCCACGUGUAUCUCAUGUUGACGUAUAAAUAUCAGUUUUUAACAGCAAAAAGCGAUGAAAUUUUUAACA